rnacentral:rRNA from 1 species
GCCGUGGGCGUUGGAGAAUUGAGAGGGGCUGCUCCUAGUACGAGAGGACCGGAGUGGACGCAUCACUGGUGUUCCAGUUGUCUCGCCAGAGGCAUUGCUGGGUAGCUACAUGCGGAAGAGAUAAGUGCUGAAAGCAUCUAAGCACGAAACUUGCCUCGAGAUGAGUUCUCCCACACUAUAAGUGUGUAAGGGUUGUUGGAGACUACGACGUAGAUAGGCUGGGUGUGUAAGUGUUGUGAGACAUUGAGCUAACCAGUACUAAUUGCCCGAGAGGCUUAACUAU